rnacentral:lncRNA from 1 species
ACUGUUCUAGAUAAUACUGUUGGAAUGCAUGAGAGAUCACUUUCUCCUCUUCUGAUUCUACUGCUUUCAGGGCACUGCAGUUCCUACAGGCUGGAAGCUGUCUUCCAGUGAAAGUUUGUGAGCCUUCCACGUCCACCCCUUGAUAUCUUCAUGGGAGAUGCUCAAGAUUGUUUAACCAACAUGCAUUUCUGAGCUGUGGGCUACUCAUCAAAUAAAAGAAUAUUUCAAAAGAGAAGACAUUUUGGAACAACAAAGGGAGAUUCUAAAAAAGGUUGCACCAGAGGCUCACAUCAAAAUUCAUAAGGCCAGUGCAACCAAUGCAAGAGCUGAAGACGAAAAGACAGCUGAGAAAAUAAUUCUCUGGAGAAAUUAGGAUACCUGUGUGUUUGAGGUAUGUUUGCUUUAUAAAUCAUAUAAACUAUUUUUCAGUCUUUCUGCUUGUGUUUAAAAAU